AUUGAACGCUGGCGGCAGGCCCAACACAUGCAAGUCGAACGGUAACAGGAAGAAGCUUGCUUCUUUGCUGACGAGUGGCGGACGGGUGAGUAAUGUCUGGGAAACUGCCUGAUGGAGGGGGAUAACUACUGGAAACGGUAGCUAAUACCGCAUAACGUCGCAAGACCAAAGAGGGGGACCUUCGGGCCUCUUGCCAUCGGAUGUGCCCAGAUGGGAUUAGCUAGUUGGUGGGGUAACGGCUCACCUAGGCGACGAUCCCUAGCUGGUCUGAGAGGAUGACCAGCCACACUGGAACUGAGACACGGUCCAGACUCCUACGGGAGGCAGCAGUGGGGAAUAUUGCACAAUGGGCGAAAGCCUGAUGCAGCCAUGCCGCGUGUAUGAAGAAGGCCUUCGGGUUGUAAAGUACUUUCAGCGGGGAGGAAGGGAGUAAAGUUAAUACCUUUACUCAUUGACGUUACCCGCAGAAGAAGCACCGGCUAACUCCGUG
rnacentral:rRNA from 1 species